rnacentral:tRNA from 1 species
UCCCUGGUGGUCCAGUGGUUAGGACUUGGCAUUUUCACUGCCGUGGCCCAGGUUCAAUCCCUGGUCAGGGAA